rnacentral:misc_RNA from 1 species
GAUGAAGAACGCAGCGAAAUGCGAUACGUAGUGUGAAUUGCAGAAUUCAGUGAAUCAUCGAAUCUUUGAACGCACAUUGCACCUCUCGGUAUUCCGGGAGGUAUGCCUGUUCGAGCGUCAUUUGUACCCUCAAGCUCUGCUUGGUGUUGGGUGUUUGUUCCGCCUCUGUGUGUGAACUCGCCUCAAAACAAUUGGCAGCCGGCGUACUUGUUUCGGAGCGCAGCACAUUUUGCGAUCCAGAUCAACGUACAGCGGCAUCCAAGAAGCCUUAUUUAACGCUCUUGACCUCGGAUCAGGUAGGGAUACCCGCUGAACUUAAGCAUAUCAAAAGCGGAGGA